rnacentral:lncRNA from 7 species
UGUCAAUCAUAGAGGCCAAGUGCCUAACAUCCUGGCAGAGAGGGCUAGAAAGAUUCCCUUCCUUGCUUGUUUAGUUGUAUAACUUAGUAAUCCCCUUUCCCUUCUUUAAGCUCACUCACUCGGACUUGCUGUGGUGAGUCUUCUAGGCUCCAAGGGCCAAGAGACCUAAACUUAAUCACUAAUUCUGCUAUACCCUGGAAGCUUGGGCCAAUGACUUCUGAUCCUUACCUCAUCUGAAUAGAUGAGCCACAAAGCCUAUCUGACCAACUCUCAAGGAUGUUCUGAGACCCCAGGAAGCAACUCAGCAUAGCUCGACAUGCGUCAUUGAACUGGGACAUGUCAUGUCCUUCUCUGAGUCCUUUCUGUUGGAAAGCCCUGAUAUUUUGCAAGAGGAAGCAGAUGCCCAGAGAUGUUGAGUUAUAUCUCCAAGUCAUACUAAGGAACUGGCUGGAGGGUCUGAGAGUGAGACCGGUGUCUUAUAUGCUUCCCAAACACAGGAUGCCCAAAUAGCAUUCAACACAGAGAAGUUUGCCCUAUGGACUCUUCUGGAGUUAGAUUACACAUAAGUGUAAAUUGAAAAUCUACAUUCUGACAUGAGUCACUGAACACUCUGAGUCUGAGUUCAUUUGCUUGUGACUUCAGUAAAUGGGACUGAACAGGGAGC